GGCGAAGCCUGACGCAGCGACGCCGCGUGGGGGAGGAAGGCCUUCGGGUCGUAAACCCCUUUCAGCAGGGACGAAAUUGACGGUACCUGCAGAAGAAGCGCCGGCCAACUACGUGCCAGCAGCCGCGGUAAUUG
rnacentral:rRNA from 1 species